rnacentral:misc_RNA from 1 species
GGUAUGCCAUCACAUUUACACUUUUACCGCCAUCAUUGCCUAUAAAUAGAACUCUUUAUGGGACAGUGAUGAAUCCUUAGCAGACAGUUUCCCAGCUAACAAAGUAGGAAGAAUCUUCCUCUUUGGUCUUAGAAUGAGCACAGACUAUAGCAUUUCUUCAGUUCAAUUUAUCCAUUCACAUAUUUUAAUCAAAUCCCACUUCAAACAAAAGAUUUAAAAAAAAAAAAUCCAACAAAACAAUAUGAACAAACUCGUUAUCCUACUUAUAUUGUUUUGAGGCUCCUUCUAAGAUGAGUUAUUAACCGGAAUAUUAUAUAUUGUGAAUGUUCGCUUUAAAAUGUUCAGAAUAUAUAUACCCAUUAAUUUUUUUCACCCUUCCUCCAAAAUUGUUGUCAGUUGGCAGAUGGUCGUGGAAAUCAAGGGAAUGUAAACUACGUUCAAACUUUCAGAUGGACUCAUUGAACUAGUUUCCUCCAAUUGAGCAAUAAAUCAUCUACAAUUACUGAUCAUAUAUGUAGAAAGCCACCUUUUCCUGAUGGUAUCCUUUAAGGCUUCAUCUUAAUAAAUUGACUACUUAGUACUUACCCAUGAG